ensembl:misc_RNA Y_RNA Y RNA
GGGUGUUCCGAAGGUAGUGCCUUAUCUCAAUUGAUUGUUCACAGUCAGUUACAGAUCAAACUCCUUGUUCUGCUCCUUCCCCCUUCUCACUACUGCAUUUGACCAGUCUUUA